rnacentral:rRNA from 1 species
UACGUAGGGUGCAAGCGUUAAUCGGAAUUACUGGGCGUAAAGCGUGCGCAGGCGGCCUUGCAAGACAGAUGUGAAAUCCCCGGGCUCAACCUGGGAACUGCAUUUGUGACUGCAAGGCUAGAGUACGGUAGAGGGGGAUGGAAUUCCGCAUGUAGCAGUGAAAUGCGUAGAUAUGCGGAGGAACACCGAUGGCGAAGGCAAUCCCCUGGACCUGUACUGACGCUCAUGCAC